GACGGGGUCCACAGCGGGGACGGGGUCCACAUCGGGGACGGGGUCCCCACAUGGACCAACGACAAGGAGUUGUGUCUCAACAUAAAGACUGAAGAGGAGGACGAAGGCCAGAAGGAUCAGGACUCUUCAGGACUCUGUGCUGAGUCGGGACGGCCGGAGGACGAGGACGCCGUCAGCGGCCUGAUCAACUCUGACGGAGAGGAGGAGGACUGGAGGCCUCGGAUACACGGUACCUUUAAAUACUGUUCAUGAGUUAAAAACUGAAGAUUAUAUGAAGAAAAACAGCAUCAAGGUACCAAGAGUUUCAUGGUUCUAUGGACUUUACACUGAUGUUCUGUUAUAAGUCAUUUUAAUAUA